rnacentral:misc_RNA from 1 species
GCCCCACUCAUACGGGAGGCAGCAGUGGGACAGUUGGGUCAGAACGAACGCUGGCGGCCCACUCCUACGGGAGGCAGCAGUGGGACUCCUACGGGAGGCAGCAGGGGGGCCCACUCGUAAGGGAGGCAGCAGUGGGACCUUGGCUCAGAACGAACGCUGGCGGCGGAACUCCUACGGGAGGCAUCAGAUCUUGCGGAGAACUCGAGCCU